AGAAAUAAAAAGCCUCUGUCUCCUACUACUGUCUCCAGCAUCAAAACCCCAUCAAAGCAAAAACCCUUCUUGGCGGCUUCUUGUGCAGAGCAGGAAAUCAGAAUAUACAGAGAAAGAUGGCACAAUCUCUUGAGCUGCUGUUGAUUCAAUUUUUGAUGCCGGAUAAUGACGCUCGACGACAAGCAGAGGAGCAGAUAAAGAGGCUGGCUAAGGAUCCGCAGGUGGUGCCGGCGCUUGUUCAGCACCUCCGUACUGCUAAGACUCCGAAUGUUCGUCAGCUUGCAGCUGUCCUCCUCCGUAAGAAAAUAACUGGACACUGGGCCAAGCUCUCUCCUCAGCUCAAGCAUCUCGUCAAGCAGUCUCUCAUUGAGAGCAUCACCAUGGAGCACAGUAUGCCUGUGAGGCGAGCAAGUGCCAAUGUAGUGAGCGUCAUCGCGAAGUAUGCCGUUCCAUCUGGAGAGUGGCCUGACUUGUUGCCCUUUUUAUUUCAAUGUAGCCAGAGUCCACAGGAAGACCACAGAGAAGUGGCAUUGAUCCUCUUCAGUUCCUUAACUGAAACAAUUGGAAAUGCAUUUCAACCACACUUCGCAGACUUACAGGCUCUUCUACUCAAGUGCCUACAGGAUGAGACUAGCAACCGAGUUAGAGUUGCUGCGCUUAAGGCAGUGGGAUCUUUUCUGGAAUUUACAUAUGAUGGGAAUGAAGUGGUCAAGUUUCGGGAGUUCAUUCCCAGCAUUUUGAAUGUAUCAAGACAGUGUCUUGCCUCUGGUGAGGAGGAUGUUGCUGUAAUUGCCUUUGAGAUAUUUGAUGAGCUGAUUGAAUCUCCUGCACCUCUUCUUGGGGAUUCUGUCAAAUCCAUUGUCCAAUUCUCUCUUGAAGUUUGCUCGAGUCAAAACUUGGAAACCAAUACUCGACAUCAGGCCAUUCAGAUUAUUUCAUGGCUGGCAAAGUAUAAAUCCAAUUCUUUGAAAAAGCACAAGCUGGUUAUCCCUAUUUUGCAAGUUAUGUGCCCUUUGCUUGCAGAAUCUAGUGCAGAUGAAGAUGAUGAUCUUGCUCCAGAUCGGGCUGCUGCUGAAGUUAUUGAUACAAUGGCUUUGAACCUCUCAAAGCAUGUAUUCUCUCCUGUUUUUGAGUUUGCUUCUUUAAGCUGUCAAAAUGCAAACCCCAAAUAUCGUGAAGCUUCUGUUACAGCUUUAGGUGUUAUAUCUGAAGGCUGUUCGGAGUUUAUGAAAAUAAAGCUGGAACCUGUUCUUCAUAUUAUCUUAGGGGCCCUUAGGGAUCCAGAGCAAAUGGUUCGAGGGGCUGCAUCAUUUGCUUUAGGUCAAUUUGCUGAACAUUUGCAGCCCGAAGUUGUAUCGCACUAUGAGACUGUUCUUCCAUACAUUUUAAGUGCUCUUGAGGACGCAUCUGAUGAAGUGAAGGAGAAGUCGUACUAUGCUUUGGCAGCAUUUUGUGAGAACAUGGGAGAGGAAAUAUUACCUUUUGUUGGAGCUUUAAUGGGGAAACUUCUAGCAGCCCUUGAAAGUAGUUCGCGUAAUUUGCAGGAGACAUGUAUGUCUGCAAUAGGUUCAGUUGCUGCUGCUGCAGAACAAGCUUUCAUUCCAUAUGCUGAUAGGGUUCUCGAAUUAAUGAAAAUCUUUAUGGUUCUUAACAAUGAUGAGGAUCUUCGUGCUCGAGCAAGGGCUACUGAGCUUGUUGGAAUUGUUGCCAUGUCCAUUGGUAGAUCAAGGAUGGAAUCAGUUUUACCCCCUUUUGUUGAAGCUGCAAUUUCUGGUUUUGGACUGGAGUUUAGUGAACUGCGGGAGUAUACACACGGAUUCUUCAGCAAUGUAGCAGAAAUUUUGGAUGAUGGCUUUACGCCGUAUCUAUCUCAUGUUGUGCCCCUCACAUUUUCUUCGUGCAAUCUUGAUGAUGGCUCUGCCGUGGACAUUGAUGAGUUUGAUGAUGAGAACAUUAAUGGAUUUGGUGGUGUAUCAUCUGAUGAUGAAGCUCGUGAUGAGCCAAGAGUUCGAAACAUUAGCAUAAGAACUGGAGUUUUGGAUGAAAAGGCAGCUGCAACCCAAGCACUUGGCUUAUUUGCUUUACAUACAAAGAGUUCUUACGCUCCCUAUUUGGAGGAGACAUUAAGGAUUAUGCUAAGGCAUUCUGGCUAUUUUCAUGAAGAUGUACGGCUUCAGGCAAUUAUUGCUUUGAAAUAUAUCUUGACAGCAGCGCAUGCAAUCUUCCAAAAUCAUAAUGAAAAAAGAGUGAAGGCAAAAGAAAUUCUUGAUGCCAUUAUGAAUGUUUAUAUCAAGUGCAUGAGAGAAGAUGAUGACAAGGAAGUUGUUGCUCAGGCUUGUAUGAGCAUAGCUGACAUCAUGAAGGAUUAUGGUUACAUGGCUAUUGACCCUUACAUGUCCUCUCUUGUUGAUGCAACCUUAGCAUUGCUUCGGGAGGAAGCAGCUUGUCAGCAAUUAGAGAAUGAUAGUGAUCUUGAUGAUGAUGAUUCAGAACAUGAUGAAGUGCUUAUGGAUGCUGUUACUGACCUUCUUCCUGCAUUUGCAAAGGCCAUGGGUUCUAAUUUUGCGCCCAUCUUUGCAAAGCUUUUUGAGCCUUUGAUGAAAUUUGCGAGAGGAUCACGUUCUCCACAAGACCGCACGAUGGUGGUUGCUUGCCUUGCUGAAGUUGCUCAGGAUAUGGGUUCUCCAAUUGCAGCAUAUGCUGAUAGGGUGAUGCCCUUAGUGCUCAAAGAAUUGGCUUCCUCUGAGGCAACGAAUAGAAGGAAUGCUGCAUUUUGUGUCGGAGAGUUAUGCAAAAAUGGAGGAGAGUCAACUUUGUCAUACUAUGGGGACAUUUUGCGAGGACUUUUCCCCCUUUUCGGAGAAUCUGAGCAAGAUGAUGCAGUAAGAGAUAAUGCUGCAGGUGCUGUUGCAAGGAUGAUUAUGGUGCACCCUCAGUCAAUCCCAUUGAAUCAGGUUCUUCCUGUUUUCCUGAAAGUUCUUCCUUUAAAAGAAGAUCAUGAGGAGUCCAUGACUGUGUAUACUUGUGUCUCUACACUUGUUUUGUCAUCUAAUCCCCAGAUCCUCUCUUGUGUUCCUGAGUUAGUCAAUCUCUUUGCACAAGUCCUGGUAUCCCCAGUAGAAACUUCUGAGGUCAAAGCUCAAGUAGGUAGAGCUUUCUCCCAUCUUAUUUCACUCUACGGUCAUCAGAUGCAACCUCUAUUGAGCAGCCUUUCACCUGCACAUGCUAAUGCUUUAGCUGCAUUUGCCUCUAAAAGCUGAUCUAAAUCUGGUUUCUGAUACUCCCCUGGUUCUGUGUGAAGAUACUGCAUUCUCAAAGGUGUGUUAUAGGUUGAAUUUUAUAGCCACUUUUGAAGUGGUAUGUAAAGUUUGCAAUCACUUGAUGUUUUAGUGAAAAUUUUGCAAUGACUUUUUUUCCUGCUGUUGGUAAUAAUAAUAGUUGAGGCUUGGUCGUA